ensembl:lncRNA
AUAUCCGCUAGCGAGCAAAUAUAUUAACGAUGUUGUUCAUAUGGCAACACCUGUUCAAAACUGUCGAAAAAGUUAGGUUUAUUUCAGAUGGAGCAAGCACAGUAAUCCAAGGCACCAGAGAGGUACUCCACGCCACCAUGUAGAGGAUGGCUACAUAGGGCAAGAAGGCAGAGGUAGGGGGAAGUUUUAGCUCUGCACAUGAAGAACAUUUGGAGAAGAUCAAGUGGCUGACUGAAGAGAAGGUCGAGCUGAGGGCACAGCUGGCUCUACAAUCAGAUUCUACAGGAGCCAUAAGAAAGAAUCUUUCCAGCCGGGAUGCCACUGAUGAGGCUGUCCAGAACCAGGUCCCCAGGUACCAGAAAGGGGCAGCUGACCGUGCAGGUGGGAGAUGACGUGGCAGUACAAUGGACCUGCCGUGAAUAUGAAUGACAUCUCCAACACAACCAAUAUUGCUGCUAAGCUGCAUUACUGUAUUAUUUUUUUUUAACUGCUGCUAUGUACAGUGUUAUAUAUAUGAUUGCAUUAUCCUCUUAAUAUAUUUAUAGCUCUGUGUGACUGUUCUUAAUU